rnacentral:lncRNA from 1 species
AUAAGGCCAGUAAAUGAGAGGUACAGAGGCAUGAUGAAGGAGAGUGAGGCCAGUAUCGACAAUAUGACGGUGACGACGUUCAGCAUCGCCAUUUACUGUUGUGGCAAAGAUAUAAGGCCAGUAAAUGAGAGGUGCAGAGGCAUAAUGAAGGAGAGUGAGACCAGUAUCGACAAUAUGACGGUGACGGCGUUUAGCAUAGCCUUUUGUUGAGGUGUAUGAGGAGGUGAAGUAAGAUGUGAGAUGUCAUGGGAGGCAAGAAAAGAGCGUAAGGCUAGGAAUUCACCCUCAUUAUCAGUAUACAGAGUAAUGAUUUUUAGCAGAGAAAUAUUUUUUCUUCAAUGGACUUAAAAGUGGUGAAGGUUUGUAAGACAUCAGAUUUACGGCGUAAAGGGAAAAACCA